GAUGAACGCUGGCGGCGUGCCUAAUACAUGCAAGUCGAGCGAACGGACGAGAAGCUUGCUUCUCUGAUGUUAGCGGCGGACGGGUGAGUAACACGUGGAUAACCUACCUAUAAGACUGGGAUAACUUCGGGAAACCGGAGCUAAUACCGGAUAAUAUUUUGAACCGCAUGGUUCAAAAGUGAAAGACGGUCUUGCUGUCACUUAUAGAUGGAUCCGCGCUGCAUUAGCUAGUUGGUAAGGUAACGGCUUACCAAGGCAACGAUGCAUAGCCGACCUGAGAGGGUGAGAGGCCACACUGGAACUGAGACACGGUCCAGACUCCUAAGGGAGGCAGCAGUAGGGAAUCUUCCGCAAUGGGCGAAAGCCUGACGGAGCAACGCCGCGUGAGUGAUGAAGGUCUUCGGAUCGUAAAACUCUGUUAUUAGGGAAGAACAUAUGUGUAAGUAACUGUGCACAUCUUGACGGUACCUAAUCAGAAAGCCACGGCUAACUACGUG
rnacentral:rRNA from 1 species